CCUACGGGAGGCAGCAGUGGGGAAUAUUGCACAAUGGGGGAAACCCUGAUGCAGUGACGCCGCGUGAAGGAUGAAGUAUUUCGGUAUGUAAACUUCUAUCAGCAGGGAAGAAAAUGACGGUACCUGACUAAGAAGCCCCGGCUAACUACGUGCCAGCAGCCGCGGUAAUACGUAGGGGGCAAGCGUUAUCCGGAUUUACUGGGUGUAAAGGGAGCGUAGACGGUAUGGCAAGUCUGAUGUGAAAACCCGGGGCUCAACCCCGGGACUGCAUGGGAAACUGCCGGACUGGAGUGUCGGAGAGGCAAGUGGAAUUCCUAGUGUAGCGGUGAAAUGCGUAGAUAUUAGGAGGAACACCAGUGGCGAAGGCGGCUUGCUGGACGGUGACUGACGUUGAGGCUCGAAAGCGUGGGGAGCAAACAGGAUUAGAUACCCGAGUAGUC
rnacentral:rRNA from 1 species